GAUAUGCUUUAUCAGUCACCAUCAUUCUCAAUACAACUUAGCCUAUCUGGGGAGAUGAUGAGGGCUACCAUCACUGAAGAGGACGACGAUGACGACGAUGGAAUCCAAUUCCAGCAGGAAUCCUCUUCAUGGAUUCUUCAACAUUGAAUCAAUGAGUUACCAAGUUUUGUGCAUGGUUUGUGGUUUUGCUGCAAUAAUAAAGGACGGAAGGUUUGAUUCACUUGGAAAGGGGACGUUAACUCCUUUGUCUUCCUUUCCUCCGACGGUAGCCUUGAGCUUUCUUGUCUCUUGUUGCGAGUCUCAACCCAUUGCGUGUCGAUCAUAUUAUCAUGUAAAGUACGAUCAGAAUUAUUCGGAGACUAUGGAUCAACAUAAGAAGUUAAUCUAGAGGAUACAUGGCAUUUACUUGGGUUUUUCCCCUCCCGGUGAAGAACAAGUUCACAGCCGAAUCCUGAACCUUCUUUGGGAGGAAGCAUGAAAAUUUCAAAGUAAUCAUGUUUUCGAGUAGCAGCCUUCAUUUCUUGAAUUGAUCGCAAGGAUAGAAGGAUUGGAAAAAACUCGUGAGAAGAGCAACAACAGACCAACUUUAUUAUGGGAGAUAUGGGAAGAAUAAAACAAUAGAUAGCAUGUUAAUUAAAUAUUCGUAUUUGAAACAUUUAGACUUAGAUAAUCAGAAUGUAUUGAUUUGUAUAGGAUAAGAGAACUUUUUUCAGGCUAUUAGCUUUCGUAUGUAAAGUGUAAACUGGUAUUGUAAUACGAAUCUCCAUUUAUUGUCUUGAUUGUUUUAAGUGAA